UUAUAAGAACAGAUUUACUUUUUAAGAACGGGUCUCUAGUAGACUAUAGGGAAAACAAAUUCAUUGUUUUUGGGGUGAACCUAUGGAUUUUUUUAUAAGCACCAAUGGGUUCAGAUAAUGUUGAAACAUUA